UACGUAGGGUGCAAGCGUUGUCCGGAAUUAUUGGGCGUAAAGAGCUCGUAGGCGGUUUGUCGCGUCGAAUGUGAAAACCCGGGACUCAACUCCGGGCCUGCAUUCGAUACGGGCAGACUAGAGUUCGGUAGGGGAGACUGGAAUUCCUGGUGUAGCGGUGAAAUGCGCAGAUAUCAGGAGGAACACCGGUGGCGAAGGCGGGUCCCUGGGCCGAUACUGACGCUGAGGAGCGAAAGCGUGGGGAGCAAACAGG
rnacentral:rRNA from 1 species